CGGUUAUUAGUUCCCUCCUACCACCCCUACCCCCAAAUGUUUUAGGCAAAAUAACAAAAUCAAAACCCGCCAUACUCUCGGCAAACAUACAUAUCCAAAAGGCCAAAAUCUGUCCUAAACUUUUCGAUCUCAAAAGGCAAAGAGAAAGCUGCCAGUUUGUUUCCGUCUCUUCCAUCGUCUUUGUCACCGUAGUCCGUCAGCCACCACUAUUAACACCACAAACAGCCACCUCCGAUCAUCUCUUCAAAUCGUCCAAAAAUUCUAAGGUUUUUUCUUGACUAAUCUCGACUAACAUAGCGGGCAUCUUCAAUUUCUCACAGAACCUAAUACUAGUUGAACCCUAACUGGCAGAUCCAAUUCCUCGCUGAAAUUGCCGCUGGUUGCUGUGGGAGAAACCAUCGAUAAAACAUCCAAAAUCGAUAUUUAGAAUCGAAAAAAGUUGAGGUAUCCACACAUUGUUGGCAAAAACAAGUUUUUCUCUAAUACGCAAAAGAAAGAGGAUGCUAUUCAACUAAUAAAUACCAGCUUAUAUGCUCGUUUACCUCGAGAAGCUUCCUCUGUCCAACAAGAUGCUAUUCAACUAAUAAAUUGUCUAUGUACUGGUUGUAACAAUCAAGAUGGAGAAAUGAUGAAAAGGAAGAUGAAAGUGAUGAAGAGCUCGUCCUUACUUAAGAAGAUUUUCUGAAUUAUUGCUGAGACUUUAGAUGAUCUAGGAAUCUUUUGCUAUUGAACAUUUUGAAACUUAUGCUAGCUCUGGAAUUGUAAUACUUAUCACUUAGAUUAGAAUAUUUUUAUUAUGGUUAUUACUAGCUUGUUGGACAAGGACAAUUUAUUUGGAUUGUGAGUGAUCAUGAAUAGUUUCAAUUUGUGAAUUAUAUAAAUUUUAGUGUAUUAUAAUU